AUGUCGCUGGUUCUCAGCCACAAUUUGAGUAGCAAGAGCCCUGGACAACUUUCAGGAAGACAGUUCUGGUCUGUAGCAAUUAACACAUGGUCAUCCUCAGAAAAAGGGUAAGGAGGAUGCCACUUGACCUAACAGAAUCUUAUACAUGCCAAUAAUGUGAAGGCUUGAUGGGUGUUUGUACUUAGUCCUCUCAAUUAUUUCCCAGAGAUACCCAUAACUUAAAAUGCAGGAACCAAGAGAUUUGAGCCUAGACAUUUGAAUGAAAAGUGAUUUCCACCUGGAGAAAGUCACUGCCCCUCUGUGCAGAGUACCAUUGUGUCUUGAAUCCAGCUUGGCCACAAGGAAAUGGGGCGAGACUUUGUCAUGUAUGUCGCUGAAGUUCAGCUAUGCAAAAAUGUUCACCUAUCCUUGAUCAACCAGUCCAGGAACCAUCAAAGAAGAAAAUGAGAUUCGACUUAGAAGACCUGUUCUUUAUAAACCCCUGCACAGCCCUAAUGAUCAACACCACUUCCAGUGCUCAUAAAUUACUGCUUCAAUAAUUGUUCUGC
rnacentral:lncRNA from 1 species